rnacentral:rRNA from 1 species
CUACGGGCUGCUGCAGUGGGGAAUAUUGGACAAUGGGGGAAACCCUGAUCCAGCAAUGCCGCGUGUGUGAAGAAGGCCUUAGGGUUGUAAAGCACUUUCAGUAGUGAGGAAAAGUUUAAGGCUAAUACCCUUGAACCCUGACGUUAACUACAGAAGAAGCACCGGCUAACUUCGUGCCAGCAGCCGCGGUAAUACGAAGGGUGCAAGCGUUAAUCGGAUUUACUGGGCGUAAAGCGCGCGUAGGCGGUUUGAUAAGUCGGAUGUGAAAGCCCCGGGCUCAACCUGGGAAUUGCAUUCGAUACUGUCAGGCUAGAGUAUGGUAGAGGGAAGUGGAAUUCCACAUGUAGCGGUGAAAUGCGUAGAUAUGUGGAGGAACACCAGUGGCGAAGGCGACUUCCUGGCCCAAUACUGACGCUGAGGUGCGAAAGCGUGGGGAGCAAACAGGAUUAGAUACCCGAGUAGUC